rnacentral:rRNA from 1 species
UACGUAGGGUGCGAGCGUUGUCCGGAAUUAUUGGGCGUAAAGAGCUUGUAGGCGGUUUGUCGCGUCUGCUGUGAAAUCUCAAGGCUCAACCUUGAGCUUGCAGUGGGUACGGGCAGACUAGAGUGUGGUAGGGGAGACUGGAAUUCCUGGUGUAGCGGUGAAAUGCGCAGAUAUCAGGAGGAACACCUGUGGUGUAGACAGCUUACUGGACCAUUUCUGACGCUGAGACACGAAAGCGUGGGUAGCAAACAGG